rnacentral:tRNA from 1 species
UUAUAACUAAUGAAACAAAUCAUAAUAUAUUUAUAGGUUAUAAAUUUUUUUAAUUAAAUAUUGAAGAUAUAGU